rnacentral:lncRNA from 1 species
GGGGGUUGACGUUUUUUUGCAACAGGGUCUUUUUGGCAGAACCACCCAAAUUAACUUGGCUAAAGUGUUCUCAACUUCGCCUCAUAUGCGAAUCACACUUUAAGCAAGUCAAUUCGGCAAUCUGUUGGGUUAUACCCGAUAAACCACUUGUCUCAGAUCGAAACGAAAAGCAUCUCACGCGAAGGUGAGUUCAGAGAUUACAACAUUCCAGUACUUAAUACAUAGAUCUGAAUUAAGUUAUUACACAAUCAUUUUUCAAAAGU